GCGGGAGUGGUGGAAUGGCAGUCACGAAGCGCUUAGGUCGCUUUGCCCGAAAGGGCGUGGGGGUUCGACUCCCCCCUCCCGCA
rnacentral:tRNA from 1 species